rnacentral:rRNA from 1 species
ACAAUAAAUCACAAUGCGGAACUUCUGUUUUGCAAUUGGAUUGAGAACAACGCACAACACUUAUCGAUAAACAAUUGGAGGGCAAGUCUGGUGCCAGCAGCCGCGGUAAUUCCAGCUCCAAUAGCGUAUAUUAACGUUGUUGCAGUUAAAAAGCUCGUAGUUGAAGUGAAGUGUGAAUCUCUUGGAUUUUCGUUUGAAUUUCCUUUAGCUUCAUACUCUUUCCAAAUAGUUUGCAUGGGUAUUUACUUAUCUGUGUAUUGCAUUUGGUCAUUUACUGUGAGAAAAUUAGAGUGUUCAAAGCAUACGUUUGUUUGAAUACAUUAGCAUGGAAUAAUUCGAAAAGGCUUUCAUGUUCGAUUUGAUUGGUUUGUUCGUGAAGGCAAGAUUAAAAGGGACAGUUGGGGGUAUUCAUAUUCAAUAGUCAGAGGUGAAAUUCUCGGAUUUAUGGAAGAUGAACAAU